rnacentral:rRNA from 1 species
GAUGAACGCUGGCGGCGUGCCUAAUACAUGCAAGUCGAGCGAAUGGAUUAGGAGCUUGCUCUUAUGAAGUUAGCGGCGGACGGGUGAGUAACACGUGGGUAACCUGCCCAUAAGACUGGGAUAACUCCGGGAAACCGGGGCUAAUACCGGAUAACAUUUUGAACCGCAUGGUUCGAAAUUGAAAGGCGGCUUCGGCUGUCACUUAUGGAUGGACCCGCGUCGCAUUAGCUAGUUGGUGAGGUAACGGCUCACCAAGGCAACGAUGCGUAGCCGACCUGAGAGGGUGAUCGGCCACCCUGGGACAGAGACACGGCCCAGACUCCUCCGGGAGGCAGCAGUAGGGAAUCUUCCGCAAUGGACGAAAGGCUGACGGAGCAACGCCGCGUGAGUGAUGAAGGCUUUCGGGUCGUAAAACUCUGUUGUUAGGGAAGAACAAGUGCUAGUUGAAUAAGCUGGCACCUUGACGGUACCUAACCAGGAAGCCACGGCUAACUACGUGCCAGCAGCCGCCGUAA